AAGCUGCAGCCAUGGAGGAAAUUAAGUCCCUCAUCUCUCGAGGUGAUUUUUUUUCAAUUGUUCCUCCACAGGCUGCGUCAAUAAAUUUUCUCUCCGAGGGUAGCAAACCUCCAUAGAAGUACUCAAUGAGAGAUUGGUCAGAAAUAUCAUGCCGAGGGCAGCUUGUGCACAACUUUUUGAACCUCUCCCAGUACUCAUACAAGCCUUCAGAGUGCUUUUGCUUUAUGCCACUUAUUUCUCGACGG
rnacentral:lncRNA from 1 species